UCCUCGCGUCUCCAUAGGCGUCUCCAUUCUUCAUCGAGCAGCCGAUCGUUCAUCUUCUUCUUGCGAUUCGAUAUGAGACUGUUAUCGGUUUCCCCUCAUAAUACCCUCCAUUAAUCAACCAGACCUGAUCUAUAUUCAAUGCGACCCUAGAGAUUGCAAGGCGAUGACGUUCUACUAUAAAUAGACUGGUCGUUCUUUCUCCGCCGUUCAAGUUCGCCUGUUUCGUUUCUGGGAGGCGAGGAAUGUACGCCGUGGUGGAGAACUCAUGAUCCUGCUUGAUUCUCAGGGUGGUGAUGAUGACAAUGGAGAUGAAAAAGACGGUGGCAACUCAGUCACUGUUAAGGUGGAAGCUUGUGGUGGUAGCAAUGAUGAUGGAGCUGCUGGGAAGGUGAAGAAAGCCCGCAAGGCAUGAGUGAAGCCGAUUGAUGUUGAGGAUGUUGUUUCCCGCUUUUUAACGAAUAAGUUGUUUUUGUUCAAAAAAAAAAGAAUAAGUUGUUUUUGUUGGUUUGUCUUUGCUUCUGUUUUUGUUUCUCCUGAACAAGUUUGUGUUUUUUUCCUUUUGAAACGUCUAAAUUGCGUUUUUUUUUUUUUGCUAAAAACAUUUGAGUUCUUGCUUAUCAGUUAUA